CGCACCUUGCGCCAAGGCUUCACUUCCAGACUGCGAAACCAUAUUUGCUGCAAAGUCGACGCUUGCAGUUUGGCUUGUAGCAUAUGUGACUCCGUGUAAAGGCUCUAAUAUGAGUACCCAUGCUGUCUU
rnacentral:ribozyme from 1 species